UAAGCGACUAAGCGUACACGGUGGAUGCCUAGGCAGUCAGAGGCGAUGAAGGGCGUGCUAAUCUGCGAAAAGCGUCGGUAAGCUGAUAUGAAGCGUUAUAACCGACGAUACCCGAAUGGGGAAACCCAGUGCAAUACGUUGCACUAUCGUUAGAUGAAUACAUAGUCUAACGAGGCGAACCGGGGGAACUGAAACAUCUAAGUACCCCGAGGAAAAGAAAUCAACCGAGAUUCCCCCAGUAGCGGCGAGCGAACGGGGAGGAGCCCAGAGUCUGAAUCAGUUUGUGUGUUAGUGGAAGCGUCUGGAAAGUCGCACGGUACAGGGUGAUAGUCCCGUACACCAAAAUGCACAGGCUGUGAACUCGAUGAGUAGGGCGGGACACGUGACAUCCUGUCUGAAUAUGGGGGGACCAUCCUCCAAGGCUAAAUACUCCUGACUGACCGAUAGUGAACCAGUACCGUGAGGGAAAGGCGAAAAGAACCCCGGCGAGGGGAGUGAAAUAGAACCUGAAACCGUGUACGUACAAGCAGUGGGAGCACCUUCGUGGUGUGACUGCGUACCUUUUGUAUAAUGGGUCAGCGACUUAUAUUUUGUAGCAAGGUUAACCGAAUAGGGGAGCCGUAGGGAAACCGAGUCUUAACUGGGCGUCUAGUUGCAAGGUAUAGACCCGAAACCCGGUGAUCUAGCCAUGGGCAGGUUGAAGGUUGGGUAACACUAACUGGAGGACCGAACCGACUAAUGUUGAAAAAUUAGCGGAUGACUUGUGGCUGGGGGUGAAAGGCCAAUCAAACCGGGAGAUAGCUGGUUCUCCCCGAAAGCUAUUUAGGUAGCGCCUCGUGAACUCAUCUUCGGGGGUAGAGCACUGUUUCGGCUAGGGGGCCAUCCCGGCUUACCAAACCGAUGCAAACUCCGAAUACCGAAGAAUGUUAUCACGGGAGACACACGGCGGGUGCUAACGUCCGUCGUGAAGAGGGAAACAACCCAGACCGCCAGCUAAGGUCCCAAAGUCAUGGUUAAGUGGGAAACGAUGUGGGAAGGCACAGACAGCCAGGAUGUUGGCUUAGAAGCAGCCAUCAUUUAAAGAAAGCGUAAUAGCUCACUGGUGGAGUCGGCCUGCGCGGAAGAUGUAACGGGGCUAAACCAUGCACCGAAGCUGCGGCAGCGACACUUAGGUGUUGUUGGGUAGGGGAGCGUUCUGUAAGCCGUUGAAGGUGACCUGUGAGGGUUGCUGGAGGUAUCAGAAGUGCGAAUGCUGACAUAAGUAACGAUAAUGCGGGUGAAAAACCCGCACGCCGGAAGACCAAGGGUUCCUGUCCAACGUUAAUCGGGGCAGGGUGAGUCGACCCCUAAGGCGAGGCUGAAAAGCGUAGUCGAUGGGAAACAGGUUAAUAUUCCUGUACUUGGUGUUACUGCGAAGGGGGGACGGAGAAGGCUAGGCUGGCCGGGCGACGGUUGUCCCGGUUUAAGCGUGUAGGGGGAGUGACCAGGUAAAUCCGGUUGCUUAUCAACCCUGAGGCGUGAUGACGAUGCACCACGGUGCAGAAGCAGUUGAUGCCAUGCUUCCAGGAAAAGCCUCUAAGCAUCAGGUAACAUUAAAUCGUACCCCAAACCGACACAGGUGGUCAGGUAGAGAAUACUCAGGCGCUUGAGAGAACUCGGGUGAAGGAACUAGGCAAAAUGGUGCCGUAACUUCGGGAGAAGGCACGCUGGCGUUAGGUGAAAGGACUAGCUCCUGGAGCUGAAGCCAGUCGCAGAUACCAGCUGGCUGCAACUGUUUAAUAAAAACACAGCACUGUGCAAACACGAAAGUGGACGUAUACGGUGUGACGCCUGCCCGGUGCUGGAAGGUUAAUUGAUGGGGUCAGCCGCAAGGCGAAGCUCUUGAUCGAAGCCCCAGUAAACGGCGGCCGUAACUAUAACGGUCCUAAGGUAGCGAAAUUCCUUGUCGGGUAAGUUCCGACCUGCACGAAUGGCGUAAUGAUGGCCAGGCUGUCUCCACCCGAGACUCAGUGAAAUUGAACUCGCUGUGAAGAUGCAGUGUACCCGCGGCAAGACGGAAAGACCCCGUGAACCUUUACUAUAGCUUGACACUGAACAUUGAGCCUUGAUGUGUAGGAUAGGUGGGAGGCCUUGAAGUGUGGACGCCAGUCUGCAUGGAGCCAACCUUGAAAUACCACCCUUUAAUGUUUGAUGUUCUAACUCGGCCCCAUGAUCUGGGGUGAGGACAGUGUCUGGUGGGUAGUUUGACUGGGGCGGUCUCCUCCCAAAGAGUAACGGAGGAGCACGAAGGUUAGCUAAUCACGGUCGGACAUCGUGAGGUUAGUGCAAAGGCAUAAGCUAGCUUGACUGCGAGAGUGACGGCUCGAGCAGGUACGAAAGUGGUCUUAGUGAUCCGGUGGUUCUGAAUGGAAGGGCCAUCGCUCAACGGAUAAAAGGUACUCCGGGGAUAACAGGCUGAUACCGCCCAAGAGUUCAUAUCGACGGCGGUGUUUGGCACCUCGAUGUCGGCUCAUCACAUCCUGGGGCUGAAGUAGGUCCCAAGGGUAUGGCUGUUCGCCAUUUAAAGUGGUACGCGAGCUGGGUUUAGAACGUCGUGAGACAGUUCGGUCCCUAUCUGCCGUGGGCGUUGGAAGAUUGAGAGGGGCUGCUCCUAGUACGAGAGGACCGGAGUGGACGAAUCACUGGUGUUCGGGUUGUCAUGCCAAUGGCAUUGCCCGGUAGCUAAAUUCGGAAGAGAUAACCGCUGAAAGCAUCUAAGCGGGAAACUUGCCUCGAGAUGAGUCUUCCCUGGGGCUUAAAGCCCCCUGAAGGAACGUUAAAGACUAUGACGUUGAUAGGCUGGGUGUGUAAGUGCAGCGAUGUAUUGAGCUAACCAGUACUAAUGAUCCGUGAGGCUUAACCU
rnacentral:rRNA from 1 species